GUGGGGAAUCUUGCGCAAUGGGCGAAAGCCUGACGCAGCCAUGCCGCGUGAAUGAUGAAGGUCUUAGGAUUGUAAAAUUCUUUCACCGGGGACGAUAAUGACGGUACCCGGAGAAGAAGCCCCGGCUAACUUCGUGCCAGCAGCCGCGGUAAUACGAAGGGGGCUAGCGUUGCUCGGAAUUACUGGGCGUAAAGGGCGCGUAGGCGGAUCGUUAAGUCAGGGGUGAAAUCCCAGAGCUCAACUCUGGAACUGCCCUUGAUACUGGCGAUCUUGAGGGUGAGAGAGGUAGGUGGAACUCCGAGUGUAGAGGUGAAAUUCGUAGAUAUUCGGAAGAACACCAGUGGCGAAGGCGACAUACUGGCUCAUUACUGACGCUGAGGCGCGAAAGCGUGGGGAGCAAACAGGAUUAGAAACCCCAGUAGUCC
rnacentral:rRNA from 1 species